rnacentral:rRNA from 1 species
AACGCUAGCUACAGGCUUAACACAUGCAAGUCGGGGGGCAGCAUGAAUCAAGCUUGCUUGAUUUGAUGGCGACCGGCGCACGGGUGAGUAACACGUAUCCAACCUACCCUCCACUCGGGCAUAGCCCAUCGAAAGAUGGAUUAAUUCCCGAUGGUUUCACGAGAUUGCAUGAGAUCGUGAAUAAAGGCUUACGGUGGCGGAUGGGGAUGCGUUCCAUUAGCUUGUUGGCGGGGUAACGGCCCACCAAGGCAACGAUGGAUAGGGGUUCUGAGAGGAAGGUCCCCCACAUUGGAACUGAGACACGGUCCAAACUCCUACGGGAGGCAGCAGUGAGGAAUAUUGGUCAAUGGCCGUAAGGCUGAACCAGCCAAGUAGCGUGAAGGAUGACCGCCCUACGGGUCGUAAACUUCUUUUAUAAAGGAAUAAAGGCGUCCACGUGUGGACGUUUGCAUGUACUUUAUGAAUAAGCAUCGGCUAACUCCGUGCCAGCAGCCGCGGUAAUACGGAGGAUGCGAGCGUUAUCCGGAUUUAUUGGGUUUAAAGGGAGCGCAGACGGGCUGUUAAGUCAGCUGUGAAAUGCCGCGGCUCAACCGUGGAAUUGCAGUUGAUACUGGCGGCCUUGAGUGCGGUUGAGGCAGGCGGAAUUCGUGGUGUAGCGGUGAAAUGCUUAGAUAUCACGAAGAACUCCGAUUG